GACGAACGCUGGCGGGGUGCUUAACACAUGCAAGUCGAACGGAAAGGCCUGCUUUCCCUUGUGGAUUGCGGGUACUCGAGUGGCGAACGGGUGAGUAACACGUGAGUGAUCUGCCCCCAACUUGGGUAUAAGCCUGGGAAACUGGGUCUAAUUCCCGAUAGGACUGCAGGGUGGUGCCUGUGGUGGAAAACGAUUUUCUAGUGGUUGGGGAUGAGCUCGCGGCCUAUCAGCUUGUUGGUGGGGUAAUGGCCUACCAAGGCGGCGACGGGUAGCCGGCCUGAGAGGGUGGACGGCCACAUUGGGACUGAGAUACGGCCCAGACGCCUACGGGAGGCAGCAGUGGGGAAUAUUGCACAAUGGGCGGAAGCCUGAUGCAGCGACGCCGCGUGGGGGAUGACGGCCUUCGGGUUGUAAACUCCUUUCGACCGCGAGGAAGCCACCUGGUUGAAAGGGUGGUGACGGUAGUGGUAGAAGAAGCACCGGCUAACUACGUG
rnacentral:rRNA from 1 species